UAGAUUCAUUUGUCUCUAUGCGUUUGGU
rnacentral:piRNA from 1 species